rnacentral:rRNA from 1 species
UACGGAGGGUGCAAGCGUUAUCCGGAUUCACUGGGUUUAAAGGGUGCGUAGGUGGGUUGGUAAGUCAGUGGUGAAAUCUCCAGGCUUAACUUGGAAACUGCCAUUGAUACUAUCAAUCUUGAAUACCGUGGAGGUCAGCGGAAUAUGUCAUGUAGCGGUGAAAUGCUUAGAUAUGACAUAGAACACCAAUUGCGAAGGCAGCUGGCUACACGAAUAUUGACACUGAUGCACGAAAGCGUGGGGAUCAAA